CGUUAUGGCGGCUGUGUAUGGGAGGCCUUCGGGUCUGCCGGGUUACUCCACCGGUCUUGCACACCUAUGCACAGCUGCCACCACU
rnacentral:antisense_RNA from 1 species